rnacentral:rRNA from 1 species
GGGCCCGCACAAGCGGUGGAGCAUGUGGUUUAAUUCGAUGCAACGCGAAGAACCUUACCUACUCUUGACAUCCAGAGAACUUUUCAGAGAUGAAUUGGUGCCUUCGGGAACUCUGAGACAGGUGCUGCAUGGCUGUCGUCAGCUCGUGUUGUGAAAUGUUGGGUUAAGUCCCGCAACGAGCGCAACCCCUUAUCCUUGUUUUGCCAGCGAGUAAUGUCGGGAACUCCAGGGAGACUGCCGGUGAUAAACCGGAGGAAGGUGGGACGACGUCAAGUCAUCAUGGCCCUUACGAGUAGGGCUACACACGUGCUACAAUGGCGCAUACAGAGGGCGGCCAACUUGCGAGAGUGAGCGAAUCCCCAUAAACCGUGGCUC